AAAGAUUUUUUUUGCUUACUACGGACUUUCCAAUUCAAUUUAAAUUAAAUUAAAUUUUAUUUAUUUCGUCAUCACAGGUAAUAGAUAGGUGACAGUAUAUUCAUAUAGAAUUAUGUACAUCAGCCUUUAUGAGCCGUUGAGGGUAACCUAUCGAUCUUCCGAAACUGACUUGUCCGAUUUUCACUUGUCCGAAAACAGUUCCCCGAUUUUUUAAAAUCCAUCUGCUUUGUUUACCAUACUUACGAAACGCCGCUGGUUUGUUUCCCCGAAUUAACGUUUUCCCGAAACUCAAUAGCCCGAAGAACGUUUGCCAACUUUAUUGUUUGACAACUGAUUUGUUACCCCACUUUUCAUAAUUCCGAUGCUACGUUACACCUAAAUUUCAUUUCCCCUAAUAUCAUUACACCGACUGCCAUAAAAAAAAUUGCAACAGAUUUUAUUAAUUAUUCCCGGCAUUUGGAAAUUUGUUGCUUGUCGCUUUUUUGUGUUAUGAUUUGAUUUUUGCGACUCUCGUGCUAGAACAGUGGGUUAAGUAGGUUACAACUGCGACUCCGCGGAAAAAAACUGGCACGAAAAGUGGGUUAGGUUAGGUUAGAACUGCGACCCCGCGGAAACAAACUGGCGCUAGAAAAGUGGGUUAGGUUAGGUUAGAACUGCGACCCCGCGGAAACAAACUGGCGCUAGAAAAGUGGGUUAGGUUAGGUUAGAACUGCGACCCCGCGGAAACAAACUGGCGCUAGAAAAGUGGGUUAGGUUAGGUUAGAACUGCGACCCCGCGGAAACAAACUGGCACUAGAAAAGUGGGUUAGGUUAGGUUAGAACUGCGACCCCGCGGAGACAAACUGGCGCUAGAAAAGUGGGUUAGGUUAGGUUAGAACUGCGACCCCGCGGAGACAAACUCAAACAUACACAUUGCAAACUCAUGCGAUUCGAUGUUUUGACACAGCGGAAAAGUAAUAUUUCGGAAGUAAAACUUUACGCCAAAUAAAUUAGUUGGCAAAUGAAACUUCGGGAUUUCAAUAAGUGGCGAUUCGAAUCAUAAGCGAAAUGAAAUUGCGACGAAAUAAAAAUAGGGGACAUAAUAA